GCGUGCAGCUGGCAGUGUUGUUUUGAAACCGCUAUCAGGAGGUUGCAGCUCGCGAAGCGAGACAGGUGUGUUUUGGUAAAGUGAUCGUGCGACAUGUGCAACUAAACCCAACAUUCUGUGCUUUUUUGUAAAUACAACACAAAAGGAAGUUUGUUUCUUCUAAAUAUCGCGAUAUAAGUAGCGAAUGAUGAAUCCGAUACAUCUUAGUCUCAUUUGACACUUUGCCGGUGGCCAGCUGAUGCUAAAUUUGUGAUUAACUCGCCACAUAAUUUAACCAUUUGUUAAACUAAUUGAGGAUUCCGUACAUAAAUAAGACUUUUCCCUCUUCCUGUUCCUUUGGUUUUUGUUCCUUUUGUUAUUUUCUGUUGUGAUGGCAUCGUCGAAGGUUGCUAGACGCCGUCAAGGCAGUCUUCCAAAAGAACCACCAGCUUCUGUUGAUAUCAGUGAUUCCGAUGGUGAAAAGGACAGCGGCCUAGAUGACUUCGAAAUCAUCAAAACGAUAGGUGGCAUUAUGGAAACGUGGUGUGGGUUUCUUAACACCAACGAGCUGCUGUGUCCUAGAGCCAGUUUAGGAGUUUGGCAUACACAAAACUCCCACAGCUGCUGGAAAUCGAAAUGCAGUGUCCACGUUCACAGCCACUUUACUGGCUAAGAAAAACUUUGCUGUACACCGUAUGUGUUUUAGCUGUACCCUACUUAAGUUGGCGUUGAAACGUUAAGAGCUCUGUCCUGUGAUCGCCCUUGAAUGUGACAGAAUAGCUGUACUACUCUGUGUUUAGAAACGAGUUAUUUAAGGUCUCGAACACACCGUAGCAACCCCGCCCAGUCUGGAGAAGUCUGCGGGCAACACAAAAAGUUAAAAAAAACACCAGUUGCAGUAAUGGGCCUAUUUCUGCUCAGAUGAGUGAAAAUAAGUAAUGGUAUCUUACGCAGUUUUAGUAAAUUAGCAGUUACUUCUGAUAAAAGGACGUGUUAAUAAAUAAUAAUAGUAUGUGUGUGCAAUUUCGAAUGGUUUCUAAGUAGGAUAGUGACAUCACUUUGACCGUCUUAAACGUAUAUAGUCUGCUCAUAUCCCACCAAUCGUAAACUUUUACUUUAAUCUUAUACCACUUAGGAUAUCGUGAGAAGAAAACCAAAGACAAAAGUAUUGCUUCGCACAUAUCAGGACAUUUUCAUAAUGGUUGUUCAUUUGUAAACGUAAUUCACCCGUUAAUACAAAUUCUUAUGUAAUCUGUAUUAUAAUGAUUUGUACCUAUCAAUCAUUUCUUAUUUUUACCUCACAUAUUACCAGCUUGAAGGCCGGUUCUUGUAGAUCUGUCUUUAUGUAUCAUCGUACGUCAAACUAAACUUAUACAUGAUGAUAAGGCACUAGCUACAGUGUACUAUUCGCUUUGUUCUCCUCAUGCUAAUCUACAACGGAUCAUUUUGAGCUGUCUCUUUGUUAGUUAUUGCUCUGAGCGUGACGCAGUGCAGUUAUUCCGUCCAGAGAGGUAGACAAUCGUGCGUUAAGAGGCAUUUGUAAUGUAGAAUGUCAACUUGCCAUGUGCUCUGAGGUGGACAUUAAGCAAGCCGGAGUUCUGCAUAGAAUGGCAGCUUUAUGUCUGUCUACAAUCAGAGGAAGGGUUUGGAAUUACGUGAAUCUGUGUUUUGUCUGUGCUUCGGACCCUGCGUUUUGACAAUAGCAGUUCCCGUCAUUUAGUCCCGCUCUAUGAACAUAAGAAAUUUAAGUUUAACGCGAUGUUAAGGAAUCUCUUCUUCAGAUACCAUGGAGAUUAAAGGAAUUAAGGUCGGAGUCUACAAAUUAGCACUUAUCUGACCGACGUGCAGAGCCCUUCAUAGCGACACGCACUUCAGCCAGGCAACAGUACUUGAACAUCAACAGACAAGACACAUCACGACACGACACGACACGACACGACACGACACGACGAAGAGGGGUCGAGACUCAGUACACUUGUAAGUCCAAAACUCAGCUUCUCACCAUCUUGCAUCGUUGUAGUAACGCCACGCUCUGUGAAUUUCAACUUAUGGUGACUCUACACUUAAUCAAAUAUCCUCGAUCUACAUUUUCUCGUAGGAUCAGCUAUGAAUUUUCAUACCCAGGAAACAUAACUAUCUUUAGGGUUUUACAGCGAUGGCCAUAUGUUGCAACUGGAUGGUCUAUGCGGCAUAAUAAACAAUUUGUCAGAGUGAAGAUAUGUAUUGAUGACACUGUCAUGUUCCUUUGUAAUAAAAAUGUUUAUAUACUAAACCUCUA